UCGGGGAAGCGACGCGAAGCUUCCGACAGAACCGAGUAGAUUUCUGUCUGAGAAUAUCACGAAGAGAGUAAACGACAAUGUUCUUCGCUGAGCGCGGAACGCGACAGCAUGACAGGACUUGACGAGUCCGAUUGCACUCACGCAAAAUGGCCGCUCUCCAGAUCGACGCGGAGAAGCAACCGAGGGACUUCCUCGAAAACGAACGAUAAAUAGUCUGCGCGGAUGAAACUAUCCCGCGGAGAUUAAAUUCGCGAUACCAAGCAAGAUGUAGCAUCGCGAAACCGUCUCCGCGUGGCGAAGACGUUCGGAAGAUAUACAUCGGGAAUGGAUGGUAACUCGCGAUGUCUUCGUGUAUUUGUAGGACGGUGACAAAAGUGUCAGCGAGGAACAUCGUCGUUUGCUUUCGUCAUUCUUUCGUGAAAUUGGAUCGUAAUGAAAUUCUAUUAAAAACAUGAAAAUUAAUAAAUUAAUUAAUAUUAGUCAAGGUGCUAUCAAGAUUGUCAAGUCAAUAAAUCCCAAAAUGGAACGAACUCCUAGGGGGCUUUUUUAUUAUCUACGUGCAAAUACUUAUUCUUAUCGUUUUGGUAUUACAAAUUAUGUAAUGUAGUUAUAAAAAUCAUUUAUUCAUACAAUUCCACAAAAAUAA